UUAUGGCUCAGGAUGAACGCUGGCGGCGUGCCUAACACAUGCAAGUCGAGCGGAGAUAAGUGAAGCCUAGCGAUUCUUAUCUUAGCGGCGGAUGGGUGAGUAACACGUGGGUAACCUGCCCUGUACUGGGGAAUAACAGUUGGAAACGGCUGUUAAUGCCGCAUAUGCGCACGGAGCCGCAUGACUCCGGGCGGAAAGAUUUAUCGGUACAGGAUGGGCCCGCGCCGGAUUAACUAGUUGGCGGGGUAACGGCCCACCAAGGUGAUGAUCCGUAGCCGACCUGAGAGGGUGACCGGCCACAUUGGGACUGAGACACGGCCCAGACUCCUACGGGAGGCAGCAGUGGGGAAUCUUCCGCAAUGGGCGCAAGCCUGACGGAGCAACGCCGCGUGAAGUGAGGAAGUUCUUCGGAACGUAAAGCUCUGUUGUUCCUGACGAACCUCCCUUCUAUCAACAACGGAAGGGACUGACGGUAGGGAACGAGGAAGCCACGGCUAACUACGUGCCAGCCGCUGC
rnacentral:rRNA from 1 species